CCACACAUAAAAAACUUUCCACGUGAACCGUUUCAACCCAAUAGUUGGGGGUCUUAUUUGGCGGCGGCUGCUGGCUUAAUUGUUGGCGGCUGCUGCUGAGUGAGCCCUAUCAAAAAAAAGGCGAACGUUUGGGCUUCGGCCUGAUUUAGUAGUCUUUUUUUCUUUUAAACCCAUUCCUUAAUACUGAAUAUACUGUGGGGACGAAAGUCUCUGCUUUUAACUAGAUAGCAACUUUCAGCAGUGGAUGUCUAGGCUCGCACAUCGAUGAAGAACGCUGCGAACUGCGAUACGUAAUGCGAAUUGCAGGAUUCAGUGAGUCAUCGAAAUUUUGAACGCAUAUUGCACUUCCGGGUUAGUCCUGGAAGUAUGCCUGUAUCAGUGUCCGUACAUUAAACUUGACUUUCUUCCUUCCGUGUAGUCGGUGGAGGAGAUGUCAGAUGUGAAGUGUCUUGCGAUUGGUCUUCGGACCGGCUGCGAGUCCUUUUAAAUGUACUAAACUGAACUUCUCUUUGCUCGAAAAGUGGUGGCGUUGCUGGUUGUGAAGGCUGCUAUUGUGGCAAAUUGGCGACUGGUUUGUCUGCUGCGGCGUUAAUGGAAGAGUGUUCGAUUCGUGGUAUGGUUGGCUUCGGCUGAACAAUGCACUUAUUGGACGUUUUUCCUGCUGUGGCGUGAUGGACUGGUGAACCAUAGCUCGGUGGCUUGGCUUUUGAAUUGGCUUUGCUGUUGCGAAGUAGGGUGGCAGCUUCGGUUGUCGAGGGUCGAUCCAUUUGGGAACUUAAUGUGUACUUCGGUAUGCAUCUCAA
rnacentral:rRNA from 1 species